UACAGAGGUCUCGAGCGUUUGUUCGGAUUCAUUGGGCGUAAAGGGUGCGUAGGUGGCGCUGUAAGUCGGGUGUGAAAUCCUGAGGCUUAACCUCGGAACUGCAUUCGAUACUGCGGCGCUUGAGGACUGGAGAGGAGACUGGAAUUCAUGGUGUAGCAGUGAAAUGCGUAGAGAUCGGGAGGAACACCCGUGGCGAAGGCGGCUCACUGGGCCGGUCCUGACGCUGAGACGCGCAAGGCGUGGGAGG
rnacentral:rRNA from 1 species